AGUCGAACGGAAAGGCCCUUCGGGGUACUCGAGUGGCGAACGGGUGAGUAACACGUGGGUGAUCUGCCCUGCACUUUGGGAUAAGCCUGGGAAACUGGGUCUAAUACCGAAUAUGACCAUGCGCCUCCUGGUGUGUGGUGGAAAGCUUUUGCGGUGUGGGAUGGGCCCGCGGCCUAUCAGCUUGUUGGUGGGGUAAUGGCCUACCAAGGCGACGACGGGUAGCCGGCCUGAGAGGGUGACCGGCCACACUGGGACUGAGAUACGGCCCAGACUCCUACGGGAGGCAGCAGUGGGGAAUAUUGCACAAUGGGCGCAAGCCUGAUGCAGCGACGCCGCGUGAGGGAUGACGGCCUUCGGGUUGUAAACCUCUUUCAGCACAGACGAAGCGCAAGUGACGGUAUGUGCAGAAGAAGGACCGGCCAACUACGUGCCAGCAGCCGCGGUAAUACGUAGGGUCCGAGCGUUGUCCGGAAUUACUGGGCGUAAAGAGCUCGUAGGUGGUUUGUCGCGUUGUUCGUGAAAACUCACAGCUUAACUGUGGGCGUGCGGGCGAUACGGGCAGACUUGAGUACUGCAGGGGAGACUGGAAUUCCUGGUGUAGCGGUGGAAUGCGCAGAUAUCAGGAGGAACACCGGUGGCGAAGGCGGGUCUCUGGGCAGUAACUGACGCUGAGGAGCGAAAGCGUGGGGAGCGAACAGGAUUAGAUACCCUGGUAGUCCACGCCGUAAACGGUGGGUACUAGGUGUGGGUUUCCUUCCUUGGGAUCCGUGCCGUAGCUAACGCAUUAAGUACCCCGCCUGGGGAGUACGGCCGCAAGGCUAAAACUCAAAGAAAUUGACGGGGGCCCGCACAAGCGG
rnacentral:rRNA from 1 species